CAGGAGCUGCGCGCCCAUUCAGCCGGUCUCAUAGGAAAGCAUUCAUAAUGCUUUCCUAUGGAUGCUGGCAUCUUCUCAAUGUGAUUUUCAAUUUUCAAGAACAUACUACCCUAUUAUUCCUUUUCUGUUGUUUCAUAUGGAUUCCACUGCUGAUGUACCCUGGUACUUCCAUUGAGGAAUUCCGCAGACACUUUUGUUGAAAAGAACUCCUGGCAAGUGUAUUUCCACACUACUAACUUGGACUUUCUACUAUUUGGACUUUUUUGCUCCACUUGGG